rnacentral:rRNA from 1 species
UAGGAAUAUGCCUUAAAGUGGGGGACAACUUGGGGAAACUCAAGCUAAUACCGCAUAAUUUCCAUGGAAAAAAGCUAGGGACCUUCGGGCCUGACGCUUUAAGAUUAGCCUGCGUACGAUUAGCUAGUUGGUAGGGUAAUGGCUCACCAAGGCUACGAUCAGUAGCUGGUCUGAGAGGAUGAUCAGCCACACUGGGACUGAGACACGGCCCAGACUCCUACGGGAGCAG